AGUUCCGUGGUGAAUGUCAUGUUGAAUUGCAAAUUCAAAGAAGCAGCUUCAAUUCUGCCGGGACUUCUC
rnacentral:tRNA from 1 species